UUAAAACAAGAGCUAAUCGUAAACAGUUUCAAAACGAUCGACGGACGCGGCGCAAACGUUCACAUAGCUAACGGCGGUUGCAUCACGAUUCAGUACGUGACGAACGUCAUCGUGCAUGGAUUGCAUAUUCAUGACUGUAGACCGACGGGUAACGCUAUGGUUAGAAGCUCAGAGACGCACUUUGGGUGGAGAACGAUGGCUGAUGGUGAUGCCAUUUCCUCAGUACGUGACGAACGUCAUCGUGCAUGGAUUGCAUAUUCAUGAUUGUAAACCGACGGGUAACGCUAUGGUUAGAAGCUCAGAGACGCACUUUGGGUGGAGAACGAUGGCUGAUGGUGACGCCAUUUCCAUCUU
rnacentral:lncRNA from 1 species